UUUCCUCCCUAAAAUUUUUCUAAUCCAAAUUUCACACCCGAUUUCCUUUCAAUUUCGUCCAGCCCUAAUCCUUUCACAGUAAAUUCCCCCAAUUCCUCCUUCACUCUAAAUUCUCCAACCGAUGUUCGAUGAAAUCGAUAGCACCACCUCCACCAAUUCUAACCGCUUUCCACCAUCAUUCAUCUUGUCUAUAGAUGCCCCUCCCGAGCAUAACCAAGGUUGUUCAAGGGCGAACAAUAAUUCAAGUGUGAGAAGUUGCGGGAAGUUUAAUCGGCACCACCAAAAUAACCACCAAAAAUUUCAAAAAGUUUGGGCUGCACCCACCCACACAAUCAGGGAAGUUUGGUUGCUUAUUGAUAGAAUAUUUAGCUUCUUUCUAUUUAGUUUGGGCUGCACUCACCCACCCUCCAUUUUUACAUGAAUUUUUCAAUAUUCAUUAUUUUCUCCCUUUUUCACAAUAAAAUCCCCAUUCAAGUGUUUUGUUGCAUUGUAGGAGAAGGAAAUAGGGUUCAAAUCAGCGAGAUUUAGAAUAUUUCUACCUGUUUCAUUAAUUUUUUAUCCAUUCGUUGAACUGAUAUAGCAGGUUUGAGAUUAUUCUGUAUGUGCUUUGUUCGUAAGAAAGUACUGAAAAACCCUAGGCUGUUUGUAAACCAUCACAAUAUAUUCAAACAAGAGUAAGCAAAGUGUGAAGGAAGAAAUGGUGAAGGUUGAAAAGAAGAUUUUGAGGAGGAUUAAGAGAAUACUCUCAACUGACGAAAGACAGGUCGUGGUAGCAAGCUCAGGUGUGGAAUUCGUUGAGAGCUAAGCGAACUGAGGAGGCUGAAAUCCAUAGAAUUCAGAAAAUUCAUCCCAAUGCUCCUAAAGGAUUAUCUGAAAUUUGAGUAUAUAGACGAGACUGACCAGAAGUAUCCGGUGAGCGACUGGUGGCUGGACUACGAGCUGAAGGAUUUCAGCAGGACAAAGCUUGACAGGGAAUUUGGUUGUCAAGCGGUAGGAGAAAAGAUGAAGGUCUUCCGCUCCGAGAAGAUAUCAAGGAAGGAUGCUACUGAAGCUACAAAAUUUGUGCUUGAAGCCAAGCAAUAUGACUCAGUUCACUUUGUGAACGUGGAGGCAGCAACGGCCUAUAAAGUGACGAAAGCGAUGGGGAUCCUCUUAGAGAGGAUUCACUGCAGAGAGAAUUUCGGGCCGGUUUGCUGAAUGGAUAAAAGAGCGGGACCUAACUUGGUUGAUUAAAUAUCCCAAUGAUCCAGUAGAUGUAUUGCUGGUGAAGGAAUUCUAAGCGAACAUGAGCCAAGCCGAGAGCCCCAAUAACAUCUACAUUCAAGGCAAAUGGGUGGUUGCUCGUUGAGGUGAAUCAACCGAGUCCUGGGAUGACCCUUUUGCUACUAAUCCCAGAAGAUGAAGGGUAAACUGAACGCAGCAGAGCACUGUUGUUUGCUGGAGAUGCAGUCAUUAUACAAGAUGUUUUUCGCUACCCAGAGUAUGAAAAGCGAAAUCUGAAAUUCGGGUCGGUGGGCGACGAAAAGAAGAAAUGGGAGAAAUGGUCACUGAGCAGGGUCAUGAUAAUCUCUCACACAACCGACAUUAAGCCCGAAUACUUGUUAGCGUUGCACUCCAUUUUAGAGAAAAAGGCUAAUAUCGACAUGGGUGCGCCAUAAUCUGCAUAGACAUCCGGGCACCAAAGAAGAUUGAUAGAACACUGGGUCACGGUACCCUGAUUACAGAGCUAUGCAAACCUUGGGGAGUCGAUCUGCCCAAUCCAGCCCCUGAGCUAAAAAUGAAACCGUUGUUGACAACAAGGUUUCACAAAAAAUGGCUCGAGUCGAAGGGGUUUAGCCUAAUCCCCAAAGAAAAAAAGAGGAAGAAGAAAGCGAAGGCUCCUCCCCCCACCAAGGAAAAGAAUGAAAGUUGUUGGGGAGGAGAUUGUCUGCUUGCCGGUGGAGGGUGAAGAAGCAGAGGAGUUAGCAUUUGGGGCUGAACCGGAAAGAGCAGCCGCUGAACUCGAUUCCGAGAAUGCAAUCUCCAAGGAAGCUGAUGCAAAUGAUGAAGACGAGAUCGCUUCUCUCUUUACUCAGGAGGCUAAGGAUCGAAGAAAACAAUUCGGCGAGGAGGAGGCCCAAAGUGAUGAGGAAGGAAAAGGCCCAGAGGAGGCCGCUGGUAAGAAGAAGACCAAGAGAAAAUGAAACCCCCCCCCCCGGAGCCAG